rnacentral:tRNA from 1 species
CGGCCGGGUCGGACAGGUUCCGGCCCCCGGCGCACAGAUAGCGGCCCGCGGCGAGCGCGGCGUCGAAGACGUUGUUCGGGUCGGCCCGGCCGUC